GAUUUCUCGUACAGAAUUUGUGUGCUGAAUAUAAUGCCGGAUUAUGGGUGGAAUGCCAUUUGCAAGAUCAGUGAAAAAGAAGCAGAUUCCUGGCGCUCGGUAUGUACUAAAGCUUGACAGCAUUUGGUCUAGAUCAGGCCACUUCCAACAUUAUAGUUAAGAAGUUGCCACACAUUCCAUCAUGCUUAUAUAGCUUAAAGAUAGCCUCAAGGACUAUCCUGUUUGGUUGAUCCUCAGAUAAAACAAAAGAUUAGAGCUCAUGCUGCAAAAUUUUCAGCCACAAGUUUCAGGAGAGGGAGCAGGCGUCACAUAAGAGUUACUUGGAAGAGUUGCUGAUGAUUUGAUAGUGCUAUAAAUAUGUAUAUCAACAUCUCGAGGGUAUUUUGAAUAGCAAUAGUUCAAUUACUGAAUUAUUAGUGCUAACUAAAAAUAUUAUUCGCCUUUUUUAAAUAGCCUGUUGAUAGGAUAAUAUGAAAUGUUGAUAGGGGUAUGGACUACUAAAAGGAACUACUCUUUCAGUUCGAAUAAAUACUACGUAUUUGAUUUCUUGUUCA